UACGUAGGGGGCAAGCGUUGUCCGGAAUCAUUGGGCGUAAAGCGCGUGUAGGCGGUUCAGUAAGUCUGCUGUGAAAGUCCAGGGCUCAACCCUGGGAUGCCGGUGGAUACUGCUGAACUAGAGUACGGAAGAGGCGAGUGGAAUUCCCGGUGUAGCGGUGAAAUGCGCAGAUAUCGGGAGGAACACCAAUUGCGAAGGCAGCUCACUAAGCAGACAUUGACGCUGAGGCACGAAAGCGGGGGGAUCAAACAGG
rnacentral:rRNA from 1 species